rnacentral:sRNA from 1 species
GAACUGUCAAAUGAACCUAUUUUAAGGCUUCAUUAAGUUUUGUGAAAAUGUGUUCACUUAAGGUCAACCAGAUUGACAUUUCAAUGCGAUCAACUCUUGAAGAUUUUAACCCAAUAAUUUUGAAAGGAGUAUCUAAAGGUUUAUGACGUUUGCUCUUUUUGGCGAGUGAAGAAAAAUAAAAGACGCAAGAAAUAUCAUCAUUCGACAUUUGGAGUUUUGUUUCGUGUCUCCUUGCUGCAUUUUUUUCAGAAAAGAAUUUCUCUGAGGAACCUAUGUAUAAACAAUUUGGAAACUAACAAUUUUAGCAUUGAGAUUUAUAUAUUUUUGUUGUUGUUGUUGUUGUUGUAGUAAUUGUGUAUAAAUUGUUUUUUGGAAA